AAGAAGCUACUUUGUGCGUAUUGUUAAUUAAGUUUUAACCUUUAAGCUGUAAUAGGGAGUUUUAUAUCGGAACGGNNGCUGUAUAGGGAGUUUUAUAUCGAAGCUGGAAUGUCAUGCCUCCAUUGCAGAGGACGACAGGAACGUUUCUGCAAACACCCACUUUGAGGAGUGGUGGUUUAAAACUUUCUUACUUGCAUACGGCAAGAUGUAGCGAAAGC
rnacentral:other from 1 species